rnacentral:rRNA from 1 species
GAUGAACGCUGGCGGCGUGCCUAAUACAUGCAAGUCGAGCGAACAGAUAAGGAGCUUGCUCCUUUGACGUUAGCGGCGGACGGGUGAGUAACACGUGGGUAACCUACCUAUAAGACUGGGAUAACUUCGGGAAACCGGAGCUAAUACCGGAUAACAUUUGGAACCGCAUGGUUCUAAAGUGAAAGAUGGUUUUGCUAUCACUUAUAGAUGGACCCGCGCCGUAUUAGCUAGUUGGUAAGGUAACGGCUUACCAAGGCAACGAUACGUAGCCGACCUGAGAGGGUGAUCGGCCACACUGGAACUGAGACACGGUCCAGACUCCUACGGGAGGCAGCAGUAGGGAAUCUUCCGCAAUGGGCGAAAGCCUGACGGAGCAACGCCGCGUGAGUGAUGAAGGGUUUAGGCUCGUAAAACUCUGUUAUUAGGGAAGAACAAAUGUGUAAGUAACUGUGCACGUCUUGACGGUACCUAAUCAGAAAGCCACGGCUAACUACGUG